AUACGUAGGUGACAAGCGUUAUCCGGAUUUACUGGGCGUAAAGGGCGUGUAGGCGGUCUUGCAAGUCAGAAGUGAAAUUCCUGAGCUCGGCUCGGGCGCUGCUUCUGAAACUGCAGGACUUGAGUGCUGGAGGGGAUAGCGGAAUUCCUAGUGGAGCGGUAAAAUGCGCAGAUAUUAGGAAGAACACCGGUGGCGAAGGCGGCUAUCUGGACAGUAACUGACGCUGAGGCGCGAAAGUGUGGGGAGCAAACAGGAUUAGAUACCCUGGUAGUCCACACUGUAACGAUGAAUGCUAGGUGUAGGGGGUAUCGACCCCUUCUGUGCCGCAGUCAACACAAUAAGCAUUCCGCCUGGGGAGUACGGCCGCAAGGUUGAAACUCAAAGGAAUUGACGGGG
rnacentral:rRNA from 1 species